rnacentral:misc_RNA from 1 species
AACGCACAUUGCGCCCUUUGGUAUUCCUUAGGGCAUGCCUGUUCGAGCGUCAUAAAACCCCUCAAGCACCGCUUGGUGUUGGGCGCUUGUCCCGCCUCCGGCUGGGACUCGCCCUGAAUCCAUUGGCGGCCCCCGCAUUGGGCUAUCGAGCGCAGCAGACCUUUGCGCCUCGGGCACAGGGCGUGGGCGACCACCGAGCAACCCCCCCAAUUUUGACCUCGGAUCAGGUAGGGAUACCCGCUGAACUUAA